rnacentral:lncRNA from 1 species
GUGGUAACCCUUCAUUCGAGGUAGGGGUAGUUAAGAAAAUAAGUGUUAGUUUAAACUCUGAAAAUAUCAGGGCAUAUAAACGUUCAAAAUAUGCCACACAGCCCUAUAUUUAGACCUUUGAAAAAAAAAUGCAGUGCAUAUGAACUUUCAAUUCUAGGAUAAGAUUUUUUUUCAAAACUUCAUAGUAAAAGUGGUACAGUUUUAGCCGUAAAAGGAGUUCCUAUGGGAAAUUGCAUUGUCAAUAUUUACAGAAAUGCAACCUAUAACUUAUUUGUGUAUAAAAAUUAAUUGCUUUGAAAAGUAAAUUUGGAAAUGGUUUCAAAAGGAGGGUUAACAAACAUGGUUUAUAUAAGGUUCAUGUUAAAUGCACAUCUAUACCACGUCGGAUUGGUUGCAAUCAAG